rnacentral:sRNA from 1 species
UUAAGCCCCGCAUGCGUUAUGUAUUUGUCCUAAUGCUCUCACUCCCCUUUCCUCCACCAACCAAGUCUUCACAUAUUUUGUUGCACAAAUAUUACAGUGUUUGAUGACAGGCUAUUGGGUGUUUUUUGUUGUUGUUGUUUUGUUUUGUUUUGUUUUGUUUUGUUUUUGAGAUGGAGUCUCGCUCUGUCACCCAGGCUGGAGUGCAGUCGGGUGAUCUCGGCUCACUGCAACCUCCGCCUCUCAGGUUCAAGCAAUUCUCCUGCCUCAGCCUCCUGUGUAGCUGGGACUGCAGGCGCCCAUCACCACACACGGCUAAUUUUUGUAUUUUUUAGUAGAGACAGGGUUUCACCAUGUUGGUUAGCCUGCUUUCGAACUCCUGACCUCGUAAUCUGCCUGCCUCAGCCUCCCAAAGUGCUGGGAUUAUAGGCAUGAGUCACUGCGCCCGGCCCUUUUUUCUUUUUUGAGACGGAGUCUCACUUUGUCGCCCAGGCUAGAAUGCAGUGGUGUGAUCUUGGCUCACUACAACCUUUACCUCCCAGGUUCAAGUGAUUCUGCUGCCUCAGCCUCCUGUGUAGCUGGGACCACAGGCAUGCACCACCACGCAUGGCUACUUUUCGUAUUUUUAGUAGAGACAGGGUUUCACCAUGUUGGCCAGAUUGUUCUUCAACACCAGACUUCAAGUGAUCUGCUUGCCUUGGCCUCCCACAGUGCUGGGAUGACAGGCAUGAUCCACUGCGCCUAACCUGACAGCUGUUGUUACUCAGCAUGUGGGAUGUUUACUGUUCUCAAAUCUGGAAAAUUCUGAAUUCUGAAACACAUCUGGUUCCAACAGUUUCAGCUAAGGGACUGUGGGCUGUGCCUCUUCUGAGCACUGAAGGAAAGGGUCUUGCAUACAGCAGGCACUCAAUAAAUGUUAGCUGAGAUCAGCAGCAGUUCCAGCCCCUAGACAGACAGACUGAUGGACCUUCUCCUCUGUCUCCCUCUCUGUCUCUGUCUCCAUCUCUGCCUCUGUCUGUCUUUCUGUCUCUGUCUGUUUCUCUGACUCUCUCCCUGAGCGACUCUGGAAGUCUGGGCAGGGUGUGUUCUGGGAUUGAAGACCAGGCGCAUUUCCUCUUCUGUGGUCCUCACCUUACCCUGUACCCUCAGAGAUGACCAAGCGAGACGUGCCUGGCUUCGCCAUCGGGGGCCUGAGCGGGGGUGAGAGCAAGUCUCAGUUCUGGCGGAUGGUGGCGCUGAGCACCUCUCGGCUGCCGAAGGACAAGCCCCGAUAUCUGAUGGGGGUCGGGUAUGUUGUGGAUAGGAGAGCCAGAGCCCUACCUGUGGGGAGUGGAUUUCUGGGGACCCCCUACACUGCUUGGGGGAGUGGCAUUUGGGGGAAACGGACACAGGUCUGAUCUGAGGAGACUAGGAAGACGUGGCUGUCCCUUGGGGGCCAUUCUGAGGGAAUAUGGCCCAGUCUGGGGCAGUGUGAGGGUUGGGAGGGGCCCUGGGAAGCCCCUGAGGUUCUCUGCCCCCUCCUGUUAUGGCUGCAACCCCAGCUAUGCCACUGAUCUGGUAGUCUGCGUGGCUCUUGGAUGUGACAUGUUCGACUGCGUCUUCCCCACACGGACAGCGCGCUUUGGCUCUGCCCUGGUGCCCACUGGGAACCUGCAGUUGAGGAAGAAGGUGUUUGAGAAGGACUUCGGCCCCAUAGACCCGGAGUGCACCUGCCCCACAUGCCAAAAGCACAGCCGCGCCUUCCUGCACGCACUGCUGCACAGUGACAACACGGCCGCGCUGCACCACCUCACGGUCCACAACAUCGCCUACCAGGUGAGCCAGUGCCCGGGGCAAGGCGGGCGGGGGUGUCCUAGGUGCAUAUGCCCCACGCUGACCUCCCCUCCCCGCAGCUGCAGCUCAUGAGCGCCGUCCGCACCAGCAUCGUGGAGAAGCGCUUCCCGGACUUUGUGCGGGACUUUAUGGGCACCAUGUACGGGGAUCCCACCCUCUGUCCCACCUGGGCCACUGACGCCCUGGCCUCUGUGGGAAUCACACUGGGCUGACCUGGUGUUAGAAGAGGGAGGGAGGAAAGGAGGGAGGGAGGGGCUGGAAGAUACUGAAGGAUUUCUUUUUGGAAGGUUUUUUUUAUUGUAACUU